rnacentral:rRNA from 1 species
UACGUAGGGUGCGAGCGUUAAUCGGAAUUACUGGGCGUAAAGCGUGCGCAGGCGGUUCGUUAAGUUCGAUGUGAAAGCCCCGGGCUCAACCUGGGAACUGCAUUGGAAACUGGCGAGCUUGAAUGCGGCAGAGGGGGGUGGAAUUCCGCGUGUAGCAGUGAAAUGCGUAGAGAUGCGGAGGAACACCGAUGGCGAAGGCAGCCCCCUGGGUCAACACUGACGCUCAUGCACGAAAGCGUGGGGAGCAAACAGG